UAUUAGGUUGGUGCAAGAGUAAUUAUGGUUUUUGCCAUUAAAAGUGAUGGCAAAACCCACAUUUACUCUUGCACCAACCUAGUA
rnacentral:pre_miRNA from 1 species